GCACGGGUGAGUAACACGUGACUAACCUACCCUUGAGUGGGGGAUAACCUAGAGAAAUCUGGGCUAAUACCGCAUAAUACCUUCGGGUCAAAGGAGCAAUUCGCUUAAGGAGGGGGUCGCGGCCGAUUAGUUAGUUGGCGGGGUAAUGGCCCACCAAGACUAUGAUCGGUAUCCGGCCUGAGAGGGCGCACGGACACACUGGAACUGAAACACGGUCCAGACUCCUACGGGAGGCAGCAGUGGGGAAUUUUGCGCAAGGGGGGAAACCCUGACGCAGCAACGCCGCGUGGAGGAUGAAGUCCCUUGGGACGUAAACUCCUUUCGAUCGGGACGAUAAUGACGGUACCGAGAGAAGAAGCCCCGGCUAACUUCGUGCCAGCAGCCGCGGUAAUACGAGGGGGGCGAGCGUUGUCCGGAAUUAUUGGGCGUAAAAGGGUGCGUAGGCGGUUUGGUAAAGUCUUGUGUGAAAUCUUCGGGCUCAAAUCGAAGUCUGACACAAAACUGGCGGGGCUUGAGGGUGGGAGAGGUGAGUGGAAUUUCCGGUGUACGGUGAAUGCGUAGAAUUCGGAAGGAACACCUUGUGG
rnacentral:rRNA from 1 species